AGGGGCGGGGCCUCUGGUGGCGGUCGGGAACUCGGGGGGAGGCGGCAACAUUGUUUCAAGUUGGCCAAAUUGACAAGAGCGAGAGGUGGAAAAGAUCGGAGAGGGCACGUACGGAGUUGUGUACAAAGCCAGAAACAAGUUGACGGGAGAAGUGGUGGCGCUUAAGAAAAUCCGCCUGGACACUGAGACUGAGGGUGUGCCCAGUACUGCCAUCCGAGAGAUCUCUCUGCUUAAGGAGCUUAACCAUCCUAAUAUUGUCAAGCUGCUGGAUGUCAUUCACACAGAAAAUAAACUCUACCUGGUUUUUGAAUUUCUGCACCAAGAUCUCAAGAAAUUCAUGGAUGCCUCUGCUCUCACUGGCAUUCCUCUUCCCCUCAUCAAGAGCUAUCUGUUCCAGCUGCUCCAGGGCCUAGCUUUCUGCCAUUCUCAUCGGGUCCUCCACCGAGACCUUAAACCUCAGAAUCUGCUUAUUAACACAGAGGGGGCCAUCAAGCUAGCAGACUUUGGACUAGCCAGAGCUUUUGGAGUCCCUGUUCGUACUUACACCCAUGAGGUGACUCGCCGGGCCCUAUUCCCUGGAGAUUCUGAGAUUGACCAGCUCUUCCGGAU
rnacentral:sRNA from 1 species